CUGAGCUCAAGUUCCACUUCCUGCUGGCUGCCUGUGAUCUAGAAAGUCACGUCCCCUCCCAGGGCCUUGGGAUUUGGAUUAAGUCACCUCCCUGUCCAGGAGCCUUGGACUCCUUUGAACAAAGAGCAGAAGCCCCAGGGAUCCACGGCCCUCAGCCUGGGGGCUCUGCCACCACCACCGCCCCACAACCGUAAGGUCCUGGCCUUACUCUGUAUCAUGGUCCCAUUUACGAUGUGACCUUGACAGUGGCAGGAAGCAGUGUGCAUUAGUGGGGAUCUCACCUCCAGAUCUUAGGCCAGCGCUGAACAGCAAGAUACUCUCACAUGAUGCCGGGGGUCCAACCGCAGACCCCGUGAGCCACAGGAUCAGAAGAAACAGUGGGCGCUGGCCAGCUGCAGUGUGGCUAAGCUGGAAUGCUGUGGGUCAGGUGCAUCAGGUACAUCUGCGACUUACGAUGUUUUAAGCUCAUGGUGGGUUUAUCCGGAGGUGACCCCACGGUAAGAGGAGAGAUCCAGGCAGAGCAAGAUGCAGGCAGGUGGUGAGUGGGGAUGAGGGCCUAGAGUGAAUGUGGCCAUUCACUUCCCCAGGAACAGGUGUAGAGAAGGAGAUGUGUGCAGGAGCUCCAUGCAGGGAGAGCUCUGCACGUGCCUGGACCAUGGACUUAUCCAUGCGGGAGGCAGAAGGUUGAAUGAGAAAGCCCAGAGGAGUCAGACAAUUGUUCAAGGACACACAGCAAGAAGUAGAUCAGGUCCAGCUAUCCGCCAGCUGUCCCGUCAUCGCUCCCAGCAGCCUCCACACACUGGUGCUGGCCCCGCCGCUCACUGACUGGGGACUUACUCAAGUAAUCUCUGAUUUUCUUACCAUGACCUAGGAAGUAACAAAACAACUAAAACCCAAUCUGCACUCAUUAUUAUCACACACAGGGAACAAUCCAAACUACCUUUUAUAGUAAUAAAAUCUAUCUGUCCCAGAGAGGACACCCCUCCACCCACCCCCGACCGGGUUACUGGCUUCCACAAGCCACUGCACCAGGCACACUGGUCUUUCCUCUGUUCCUAGUCUACUUCUGCCUCAGGGGCUUUGCACCUCCAUAGCUGGCUGCUUCUGAUUUAAAUUCAACCCCCCACCUUUCAAGCACACCCUGGCCACUCAAAUUAGCCACCAUGCCACCCCGUCCAGUCUUCCACAUCUCACCCCACUGUAAUGCGUUCUUCAGAGCAUUUGCCACUUUUAAAGUCACCUUAUUUAUUUGUUCAUUUUCUGUCUCCUUCCACCCACCACCGCAGAACAAGCUGGGGAGGACAGGGGCUUUUGUUUAUCGCUGAACCCAGUACCUUACGGUACACUCCUUUAAAAUGAGUGGAUGGGUCCCUUUGCCAGGCCUGGUCCUGGAGGGGAACUCAGGGACACGUCAGGCAAGGUCUCGGGCUUCCAGACAGCAGGAGAAGCUGAUGUAGAAAGAGUUAUGCUUGUUGCAUCACGAGGCUCAGGGGAGAAGCACACUCUGCUGGGAGUGGGAGUCGGGCAGCUUUGCCAGGGAGAAGACCCCUGAUCGGGCUUCGAAGGAUCAACAGGGGUUCACCAGACCCACUGUACACCUUGCCAGAAGUGGCGGACCUCGCGCUGGCCGGUGACGGGACCCACCACGGACUGCAAGUAAGGUGGGUGGCAAGGUCAG
rnacentral:lncRNA from 1 species